rnacentral:lncRNA from 1 species
AUCUUCAUUUUGUACUUGAUUGGACAGUUACACCCAUCAAUGCCAGUUUUUGCAUCAUAAAAAGAACGAAAACACACAAUGCAUAUAAGUAAAAACAUUAUUUAUGCUACAAUAACACAUAAUAGAUUUAACACACGAAACACUAUUUUCACAUACCACGUAUAGGUCUUCCAAUAUUCCGUGUGCAUUUCCCAUUCAUGUGUUAAUGCAUCUUCCAAUUUCUUAUCAUACAUUUCCUUUAACUCUUUCUUUUGGGAUUCGUGCUCAUGUGCUAAUUUAUCUUCAAACUCCUUCUUUUGGGUUUCUCGUUCAUGUGCUAACUUCUUAUCAACGAGCUCGUCCAUGGCUUUCUUUCGAAAUUCUUUACUCUUUCUCGAGGCACCAAAGAAUAAUCUCAAGAUGAUACCUUCUCC